rnacentral:rRNA from 1 species
GACGAACCGUGCGAACGUUGUUCGGAUUCACUGGGCUUAAAGGGCGCGUAGGCGGUCGACCAAGUCUGGGGUGGAAAUCUUUCGGCUCAACCGGAAAAGUGCCCCCGCAUACUGGCCGGCUAGAGGGAGAUAGGGGCAUGCGGAACUUCCGGUGGAGCGGUGAAAUGCGUAGAUAUCGGAAGGAACGCCGGUGGCGAAAGCGGCGUGCUGGAUCUCUUCUGACGCUGAGGCGCGAAAAGCCAGGGGGAG